rnacentral:lncRNA from 1 species
GAAGAUCACCCUAGCAACAGGAUACACAGAAUGGACAGGUAGAAGUUGCGACCGUGGGGGGCAAAGCUGGAGUCACAGACGACACCAGAUUUCUGCGUUCCUUGAGUGAAAGAAUUCUAAAUCGAGGCUAUGAGAAGAAGUGCAAAUUUAGGGGAAGAGGCCAGAGUGCUGUUUUGAACAUCCCAAGUUUGGGAUAGCCGAGGAGUGAUCACACAAGAAUCCAGAAGCAGGGGAGAAACGUCUCAGGAGAGGCUGAGUGGAGCAGUGUUUCUCAGCCUUGGGCACACAUCGCCCACACCUGGAAAGCUUUGAAAAAUACUGAGGCCUGGGCCCUGGGCCCAGAGCUUCUGAUGUAAUCGGCCUGGGUCCUGACACAGCACCCCAGGUAAUUCUAAUGGGCAGCCUGGGUUGAGACUCUCCAGGACAGAGAGGAGGGUACGCAGCCUGCAAGAGAUGCCUCUGCUCUCUGCCCCACGCCAGCCGGGUGACCGUGGGGAAGUCACUAGCCUUUCCCGUCCUAAGUCUCCUCCCCUAGACAAUGAAGAUUGUGAACAUGUCAAAGAACUGAAGUUAUUAAAUCAAAUAAUACGGGUAAAGUUCCUCACCCGAUUCCUGGUAUGGACAACAGACCGCACCAGGAUUCACUGCGGGACCAAGUCUGGGAAGGCAGCUCUCGGCCUGCAUUCCCAGAGAGUCAGGCUUUCUGUUUAGUAGGAAGGGAAACGAGAAGUCUCCCAAACCUGUAAUCAAAGAAGGACACUCCUUUGUGUGCGCAUGAUCUGGUGGGUCACACAACAGUCUUUGGGACUUUCUAUAAGAAAUGGGAGGCGGCCAGAUGACUCAACACUCCAUCAAGGCUCCGGCAGCCAUGACUCUCGUACAAGCCCAUGGCCCUGUCUACUUGAUAUUCCCAGCUUCUGACUCCUAUCAGCGCUCACAACAUGCUGUUAUCACAGGACCUGUGAGAAGGGGCAGCACCGGAGGGAGGCUCAAGGACACAGCUGAUGCCUCUGAUGGCAAUCACUCCCGCCAGAGGCAGCAGGAUGUUCUGCAAAACGCUCUCCGCCAUGCGACCUCAGUGUCCCCGACGGGACUCUCCUUCACAAUAACAGAGAGUAAACAGAAAGAGUUGGCCGUGGAGGUCACACGGCAAAUCCACCAACAGUGAGACACCUUGUGACAGCUUGCUGUGCACAGCUGGGCAUUGCCAGGUCCCCUCCGUGCUGCUCAGAUCCUCCCACGGUAAAAUGGUGUGUUGGAUGUAAUGGUCUUUCAGGCUCCUUUCAGAGGAAGCAUCCUGCCAUCCCACGUCCUGUGACGCUACUCACUUCAAAAAUACAGCCUAGGAAUUCGGUUCCUUUCAUGCCUUGUUUGGGGAUACCUGAGAAGCACAGGUGGGUCAGCCAUAGCUGUGUUUUCUCUACUCUCUGACGAGACCCACAUUUUCUCACUUGAUUAAAUCCCCAGUCCCAUUAAUGCAACUGGAAAAACCUGUACUGGAGGGGAGCCUUGGAGGGAGAGAUUCGGAAUCACCCAGAACACUUUGUCUUAGAGCAAUUUGGCUGAAAUUACCAAAUACCCAGUACGUUUUUCCCCCUUUCUAUUC